UGUUUUAGUUUUUUGUCCACUUCAGUUUCCAAAUAUUGUCUUCGUCUUGUGUGGUUUACUAAGAAACUUAGAAGUCAAGUCAUCAUAUGAUUUAUGCAUUCAGAAUCGCCAAGGCUUCUCGCGUUUCAUCAGAACAUGAGAUAAGUACUUCCACUGUUUCAAAUUCCAUGCUCUGGCAUGGUUUCUAAAGUGGUUGCCAUGUGUUUUACUCAAAUGGCGGCCUGUUCUGUAACAUGUCUGUAGAACUGAAGCAAUGUGUUUUGAAUUUGUUUCUAGGGCUUAGCUUAUGUUCUAGCAAUGUGUUCUACUCAAAUGGUGGCCUGUCCUUGACAUGUAUGUAGAACUUAGCUUAUGUUCUCGCAAAGAAUGGUUCAUCUCUGCUUCUCUUGAUAGAUCUGUUCUGCUUUGGGAUCAGCUGGGUAAGAAGUGCCAGCGUCUUUGCAUGUAUGUACAAGGACGGCUUGCUAGAGCUAAUAAAGGUCAUGAAUACAUGUGGAUUUAAAAGGUUGGGAGCUUUAUUGUUGCAUCUGGUAUGACACAGUUAGCAUGGCUGAUAUUGUUAUAUAAAUAUUGUUUUCGGGUCCUAAUAUCUGUUGUGCGUAUUUUUAGUGUGAAGAGAAUCUAUGCACGGUAAGGAAAUGGAAGCCAUCUAGGUUGUCUAUGCUGUGCUUCGUUGUGCCUAUUUGACGUUACUGACACAUUGUCAUGAUUCAUCAGGUUUAGGGGGAGAGGCUGAUGCUAGAAUGGGAGCAUGUUCUUAAAUACACAAACAAUAUAUACAAGGUGCAUUCUACUUACCUCUAAUUAUUUCAAUUACAAGUGAGCUAAGAGAAACUGAAGGCAUGAGCCUGCCUGCAUCUCCUCAUCAUUGUGUCCAUUGGUUCAUUCAAGCUGGUCUAUUUAUAAAAUGAAGCACUGAGGAAUAUGCUUUUAGCGCGUGGCCUCACUUAGCUUCAUAUCAGAGUUCUCCAGGUGCAAAGAAUAAGACCGAUUCCAAUAACACAACUAUAUUUGUUGGAAAUCUGGAUGCUAACAUUACUGAUGAUCCAGUAUGGUGAGCUAGUACAUGUUAAGACACCAGCAGGCAAGUGAUGUGGGUUUGUUCAGUUCACAGACAGGAGCCCUGCUGCAGAGGCUUUGCAAGGAUUAAACAAUUCUCAGCUUGGGGAACAAAAUAUCCAACUUUCUUGGGGUUGCAGUCCUUCAAACAAGCAGCAGCAGGCUCAGGCAGAUCCAAACCAAUGGAAUGCUGGCUAUUAUGGAUACUAGCUCCGACUCAGCUUCCUAUUUUUUUCUCUGUCCCUGUAAAUAAAUCUUUACCUGCACAUGUAUUGAACUCUGUGAGGUUGUAUGUG